UACGACUACAUAUCAGGCAUAUCAAUAAGCGGAGGAAAAGAAACUAACAAGGAUUCCCCUAGUAACGGCGAGUGAAGCGGGAAGAGCUCAAAUUUGAAAUCUUAAAGGGUUUCCCUUUACGAAUUGUAGUCUAAAGAAGUGUUUUCUGUUGGAGUUUCGGUAAAAGUUCUUUGGAAUAGGACAUCAUAGAGGGUGAGAAUCCCGUAUUUGACCGUUACUUUCCAGCUGUGUGAUACACUUUCAAAGAGUCGGAUUGUUUGGGAAUGCAGUCCAAGAUGGGUGGUAAAUUUCAUCUAAAGCUAAAUAUUGGCGAGAGACCGAUAGCGAACAAGUACCGUGAGGGAAAGAUGAAAAGAACUUUGAAAAGAGAGUUAAACAGUACGUGAAAUUGUCAAAAGGGAAGCGUUUGACACCAGUGUUGUUUAGUUGAAAAUCAAUUCAAUAGUUUUUGAUUCUAAGUAGUAUUGACUUCAUCAGCUUGCUGCUUUCUUCUCAGAAAUUAUUGAAUGCACUUUUCAGUUAACAAGUCAACAUCAAUUUCUUUUGUUGUAAAAGGGUAAGAGGAAGGUGGCUUGCGCUUCGGCUCAAGUGUUUAUAGCCUUUUAUCUCUGCAAUCGGAGAGAUUGAGGUCUGCAGCGUAGAUCCUUCGGGUUAGAUACAUUGGUGCUAAGCUAUAGCCUUGUAUAGACAACUUGUUGACUAUGCUCAGUCACUGUAGCCUACUCGCUGAUGCUAUUUUACCUACGCUUAGGAUGUUGAUCUACAGAGCGAGAGU
rnacentral:rRNA from 1 species